CACAUGCAGUCGCACGGUCAGCAAUGGCAGUGGCGGACGGGUGAGUAACGCGUAGGAAUCUAUCCUGGGAUGGGGGACAACCGUGGGAAACUACGGCUAAUACCGCAUGAUGCCUGAGGGCCAAAGACGUAAGUCGUCUUGGGAGGAGCCUGCGUCUGAUUAGCUUGUUGGUGGGGUAAAGGCUUACCAAGGCGACGAUCAGUAGCUGGUCUGAGAGGAUGAUCAGCCACAUUGGGACUGAGACACGGCCCAAACUCCUAC
rnacentral:rRNA from 1 species